AACUCCGAUGGCCUAGUGGUUAGAGCAUCUGCCUCGGAUGCUGGAGGUCGCAGGUUCGAUCCCAGGAUGAGUCA